GAGCGAGAAAGGGGCUUCGGCCCUGAGUAAAGCGGCGGACGGGUGAGUAACACGUAGGUAAUCUUCCCUUGAGCGGGGGACAACAGGCCGAAAGGCCUGCUAAUACCGCAUAAGUUCUUCGAGACUCCGGGUCUUGGAGAGGAAAGCUAGGUAGCAAUAUCCGGCACUCGAGGAGGAGCCUGCGUCGCAUCAGCUAGUUGGUGGGGUAACGGCCUACCAAGGCGAAGACGCGUAGCUGGUCUGAGAGGAUGAUCAGCCACACUGGGACUGAGACACGGCCCAGACUCCUACGGGAGGCAGCAGUGGGGAAUAUUGGACAAUGGGCGCAAGCCUGAUCCAGCCACGCCGCGUGAGUGAUGAAGGCCUUCGGGUCGUAAAGCUCUGUGGGGAGGGACGAACCGCCGGAUGUGCAUAGCAUCCGGCAUGACGGUACCUCCUUAGCAAGCACCGGCUAACUUCGUGCCAGCAGCCGCGGUAA
rnacentral:rRNA from 1 species